rnacentral:sRNA from 1 species
UUCAAGGCCUUCCCUGACAGAGCCCGCCCCUCGCAGGCCUGGAGGUUUCUCUGCAAAGGAAACAAACAUUCAAACCUCCGAAUGGCGUGGGUCUUCUCUAGGGUGUGUGCCUGUCAACAAGUCACCAGUUCUGGAAGAGCUAAGGGGAAUGUGAAGAGAAAACCCUGUUACACAGAGGAUGAAUUGAUUUAUGCAGACAGUUUAAAGGGUGUUCGCAGCUCUGAGGAAUGCAAGCGGCAGCAUGAUUUGAAGAGAUAACUACUAACCUGAGCUCAGAGUUUAUCAUUCCGGUUCAUUGAACAAAAGAGUCAUGGGACCAAAGAGAUGGCUCAGCAGUCUCUGCUGGCAAAUCUGCUGUCUAGACAUCCAAGUUUCUCUUGAUGAACGUUGUUUGCUCCGACUUCUUCUCCAGCAUAAACAAGGUUGGCAUGAACUCCCCUGUCGUGUCUUACUAUGCUCAUGAAAAACCUUUCACUCAGGACUGGAAAGAUUUUGGAAUUUCAGGCACAAAAGCCUCUACUUAAUAUUUUUUGAUGCAAGAUUCGAUCACAGCCAGGCCAUUUCUUUGGUUUUUUUCAACCUGUUAAACAUGUACACAGUGAUUUCCACCACUCUCACCAGAAAUGCUCUGAAGAAGGACAAUUCGGUUCUAAAUAAAAGCACUUUUUGAUCAUC